rnacentral:rRNA from 1 species
UAAACGAUAAACCACGCAGUAUCUUACCUUUUUCUGUCGUUUGUAUACCGUCAUUAAGAUAACUUUUAAAAAAUAAGUURUUACAAUAAAUAAUUUUUAARAUAUUAGAUCAAGGUGCAGCAUAUAAAAAGGUYAAAAUGGGUUACAAUAAAAYACCUUUAAAACGGAUAUUCCURUGAAAUUAGUACUAGAAGGGGGACUUAAAAGUAAAAAUAUUUCAAUAAGAAAUUUUGAAUCUAGCACUAAGUCAUGUACMUAUCSCCCGUCGCUCGCGGGAAAA